AUUGAACGCUGGCGGCAGGCCUAACACAUGCAAGUCGAGCGGCAGCGGGAAAGUAGCUUGCUACUUUUGCCGGCGAGCGGCGGACGGGUGAGUAAUGCCUGGGAAAUUGCCCAGUCGAGGGGGAUAACAGUUGGAAACGACUGCUAAUACCACAUACGCCCUACGGGGGAAAGCAGGGGACCUUCGGGCCUUGCGCGAUUGGAUAUGCCCAGGUGGGAUUAGCUAGUUGGUGAGGUAAUGGCUCACCAAGGCGACGAUCCCUAGCUGGUCUGAGAGGAGGAUCAGCCAGACUGGAACUGAGACACGGUCCAGACUCCUACGGGGGGCAGCAGUGGGGAAUAUUGCACAAUGGGGGAAACCCUGAUGCAGCCAUGCCGCGUGUGUGAAGAAGGCCUUCGGGUUGUAAAGCACUUUCAGCGAGGAGGAAAGGUUGGUGCCUAAUACGUAUCAACUGUGACGUUACUCGCAGAAGAAGCACCGGCUAACUCCGUGCCAGCCGCCGCGGUAAUAC
rnacentral:rRNA from 1 species